GUGGGGAAUAUUGGACAAUGGGCGAAAGCCUGAUCCAGCCAUGCCGCGUGUGUGAAGAAGGUCUUCGGAUUGUAAAGCACUUUAAGUUGGGAGGAAGGGCAGUAAGUUAAUACCUUGCUGUUUUGACGUUACCGACAGAAUAAGCACCGGCUAACUUCGUGCCAGCAGCCGCGGUAAUACGAAGGGUGCAAGCGUUAAUCGGAAUUACUGGGCGUAAAGCGCGCGUAGGUGGUUUUGUAAGUUGGAGGUGAAAUCCCCGGGCUCAACCUGGGAACUGCCUCCAAAACUGCAUGACUAGAGUACGGUAGAGGGUAGUGGAAUUUCCUGUGUAGAGGUGAAAUGCGUAGAUAUAGGAAGGAACACCAGUGGCGAAGGCGACUACCUGGACUGAUACUGACACUGAGGUGCGAAAGCGUGGGGAGCAAACAGGAUUAGAAACCCUAGUAGUCC
rnacentral:rRNA from 1 species